UAGGGAAUCUUCGGCAAUGGACGAAAGUCUGACCGAGCAACGCCGCGUGAGGGAAGAAGGUUUUCGGAUCGUAAAACUCUGUUGUUAGAGAAGAACAAGGACGGUAGUAACUGAACGUCCCCUGACGGUAUCUAACCAGAAAGCCACGGCUAACUACGUGCCAGCAGCCGCGGUAAUACGUAGGUGGCAAGCGUUGUCCGGAUUUAUUGGGCGUAAAGCGAGCGCAGGCGGUUUCUUAAGUCUGAUGUGAAAGCCCCCGGCUCAACCGGGGAGGGUCAGUGGAAACUGGGAGACUUGAGUGCAGAAGAGGAGAGUGGAAUUCCAUGUGUAGCGGUGAAAUGCGUAGAUAUAUGGAGGAACACCAGUGGCGAAGGCGGCUCUCUGGGCUGUAACUGACGCUGAGGCUCGAAAGCGUGGGGAGCAAACAGG
rnacentral:rRNA from 1 species